CUGGCGGCGUGCUUAACACAUGCAAGUCGAGCGGUAAGGCCCUUCGGGGUACACGAGCGGCGAACGGGUGAGUAACACGUGGGUGAUCUGCCCUGUACUUCGGGAUAAGCCUGGGAAACUGGGUCUAAUACCGGAUAUGACCUUACAUCGCAUGGUGUUUGGUGGAAAGAUUUAUCGGUACAGGAUGGGCCCGCGGCCUAUCAGCUUGUUGGUGGGGUAAUGGCCUACCAAGGCGACGACGGGUAGCCGGCCUGAGAGGGCGACCGGCCACACUGGGACUGAGACACGGCCCAGACUCCUACGGGAGGCAGCAGUGGGGAAUAUUGCACAAUGGGCGAAAGCCUGAUGCAGCGACGCCGCGUGAGGGAUGACGGCCUUCGGGUUGUAAACCUCUUUCGACAGGGACGAAGCGCAAGUGACGGUACCUGUAGAAGAAGCACCGGCCAACUACGUGCCAG
rnacentral:rRNA from 1 species